GGACGGCAGCGCGGGGGCAACCCUGGCGGCGAGUGGCGAACGGGUGAGUAAUACAUCGGAACGUGUCCAGUAGUGGGGGAUAGCCCGGCGAAAGCCGGAUUAAUACCGCAUACGAUCUUGGGAUGAAAGCGGGGGAUCGAAAGACCUCGCGCUAUUGGGGCGGCCGAUGGCAGAUUAGGUAGUUGGUGGGGUAAAGGCCUACCAAGCCGACGAUCUGUAGCUGGUAUGAGAGGACGACCAGCCACACUGGGACUGAGACACGGCCCAGACUCCUACGGGAGGCAGCAGUGGGGAAUUUUGGACAAUGGGGGCAACCCUGAUCCAGCAAUGCCGCGUGAGUGAAGAAGGCCUUCGGGUUGUAAAGCUACUUUUGUCCGGGAAGAAAGCCCUCGCCCUAACAUGGUGGGGGGAUGACGGUACCGGAAGAAUAAGCACCGGCUAACUACGUGCCAGCAGCCGCGGUAAU
rnacentral:rRNA from 1 species